rnacentral:rRNA from 1 species
GAGCGGCGGACGGGUGAGUAAUGCCUAGGAAAUUGCCCUGAUGUGGGGGAUAACCAUUGGAAACGAUGGCUAAUACCGCAUAAUGCCUACGGGCCAAAGAGGGGGACCUUCGGGCCUCUCGCGUCAGGAUAUGCCUAGGUGGGAUUAGCUAGUUGGUGAGGUAAGGGCUCACCAAGGCGACGAUCCCUAGCUGGUCUGAGAGGAUGAUCAGCCACACUGGAACUGAGACACGGUCCAGACUCCUACGGGAGGCAGCAGUGGGGAAUAUUGCACAAUGGGCGCAAGCCUGAUGCAGCCAUGCCGCGUGUGUGAAGAAGGCCUUCGGGUUGUAAAGCACUUUCAGUCGUGAGGAAGGUAGUGUAGUUAAUAGCUGCAUUAUUUGACGUUAGCGACAGAAGAAGCACCGGCUAACUCCGUGCCAGCAGCCGCGGUAAUACGGAGGGUGCGAGCGUUAAUCGGAAUUACUGGGCGUAAAGCGCAUGCAGGUGG